rnacentral:rRNA from 1 species
CCUACGGGAUGCAGCAGUGAGGAAUAUUGGUCAAUGGGCGCGAGCCUGAACCAGCCAAGUAGCGUGAAGGAUGACUGCCCUACGGGUUGUAAACUUCUUUUAUAAAGGAAUAAAGUGAGGCACGUGUGCCUUUUUGUAUGUCCUUUAUGAAUAAGGAUCGGCUAACUCCGUGCCAGCAGCCGCGUUAAUACGGAGGAUCCGAGCGUUAUCCGGAUUUUUUGGGUUUAAGGGGAGCGUAGAUGGUUUGUUAAGUCAGUUGUGAAAGUUUGCGGCUCAACCGUAAAAUUGCAAUUGAUACUGGCAGUCUUGAGUACAGUUGAGGUAGGCGGAAUUCGUGGUGUAGCGGUGAAAUGCUUAGAUAUCACGAAGAACCCCGAUUGCGAAGGCAGCUUACUAAACUGUGACUGACAUUGAUGCUCGAAAGUGUGGGUAUCAAACAGGAUUAGAUACCUCGGUAGUC